CGGUUGCAUCGCGCGUCAUCCACCCACGCACAAAAGUUUUUGGAGGACAACCUCCAAAAACACAGGUGUAAACAAUGUAAAAGUACACAAAGAACUCGACACCAUUUGGCACAGUAGAACUAUGAUCCAGGAUACAGAGUGCUCUAGUAUUGUAACUGUAAGUCUACCUUAGCUUACAGAGAAGGCUGAGGUUUUCCUUUGCUUGUUUCUUGACAGUGUACUAGCUGAACAAGCUGAGCUCUGUGUGAAGAUGGCUACCAUAAUUAUGUUCAAGUGAAGGUAGGAGUGCCCUGAUCAUCAUGUGUCAGGCAUCGAUCGAUCAUUGCUGGCUGGGAGGAUUGUGUGGGACACGAUCACCACAGUAUUAAAUUAAUGUAAGUGCUCUUUGUGUUACUAUGCUGUAAUUACAGCGCCAACUCUGACUGAAUUCCAUUAUUUAAGUCCUCCAACGGUUGCUGUAAUUAAAAGAUGCAAGGCAGUAGGCUUUUCUUUUAUUAUGCACAUGCAUUUGAUUCGUACUGUAGAGCUGCUGUAAAAUACAGAGACAAAAAAUCAAACCGUACAGUAGAUCCACUGCAUACUAUAUACUAAAAGAUUGCACUCAACACUAUAAUAGCUGUGCACUUAAGCGCCACCAUAAUAUUUUUGGGAAGUUUGUGUAAAACUAUGCUCGAGCUCACUGCACACUCAGUUUGAGGUGAAAAAAUAAGUGUGACAGUUUCCUUUGAUAGAGUGGUGCGGGGGCCAUUAUUUACCUGCUACACUUAGCUAUAUAUACGUAUCUCAAGUAUUUUUCUAUCUCAAGUAUUUUUUUGUCUUAAGUAUAAAACACAGUUGAGUUCAAGCUAGCUGUGACCUUUGCUUGUUCAUCAUUCGUUCGUGGUUAAUUCUAAAGCUAUGAUUAUUAUUAUGUCUGAACUAAAUUAUGUGUGCUGUGCAAGGCGCUGACUAUGGAGGAGAUAGGACAUGCACAUGUGUCAUCAGUCAAUUGAACGUAUGGCAUGCAAUGUAAUGUAAUUUUAUCGCAAAUGUAUUUGAGUGGUAAUAUACAGUGGAACCCCUCUAUAACGGACACCUAUGGGAACAAUGUUUUGGCCUUUAUACAGAGGUGGUCUUUGUUGAGAGGUUGUUUUGUACACAUUUGGGACCUGAGUGACUGGCCGUUAUAUAGCAACUGGCAUUUAUUCAGAGGUGGUUGUUAACAGAGGUUCCACUGUACUACUACUACUACUUUAUAGCUAGUGCACAUCAUUUUCCUAAGUUACGUUGCCUUGUUAAUUACACAGGCGCACGUCAUCUCGUAUAAUUAUACAGUACCUCCUUUGAGUGCUCAUGAUUACAUAAUUUCUCCCACACAGAGAAUGAUGGAGACAAAAGUCAAGAUAAAAUUGACAUUGAUUAUCAUGUGUCAGUACAUGUAUUAAUUAUGUGCUCAGUGUAUAUACCUUUACCGACAUCGUCUCUGGUCUCUGAAACAUUAAUAGUAAUUUUAAUAUGGGUCGAGCAAUAAUGAAUGUUGGUUGACUCAAGAUUGACAAAAAAAGACAACAAAAAACAACACUGUUAAUUAUUGAGCUUAGAAGAUGACAGAAGCAAGCAUCCAAAUCUUUGUACCAUAUCAUCGAGAGGAGGAGCACACCCUGUAUGUGUUGUGUGUGCAUACAUCAGAAGGUAAUCCGAACAAAAGUACGCUAUAAAUUAUGCUCCCCUGCCAUUAUGAUCAUUUAGAUGUACUGUGUAUGUACUUCAUAUAAAGCUGCUGCUGACUAGAUCUAAAAGGCAGCCAGCAGAUAUUGACAUAGAUCUAUCCAUAUGAUAUGAUGCACUCCUGAUUCAUAUGAUAAUUUAUAAGCAUGAGAGCUUACAUCAAACUCAUUUCCUCUGCAGCAGUUCAGGUAGGGGUCCUUUGAUCGUCUAUAGCUAUUAACGUUGCUUAAUUCGCUUUCUCUGCUAAGAGAGUAAAGCUAAACUGAGAGUUCUGUGCAGCCGCCAUGUAAAUUUUCGGGAGGUUGUCCUCCAAAAACUUUUUAUGACGUAAUGCGAUGACGUCGAUGCAACCGCUCUAUUGGCAACGGAAGUGGUUCACGUGAUCAUUUUACAUGUGUUUCUGCAGUUUUGUAAUGAAACCAUCCGUGACUCGCCUGUUUUCCUGCCAGAAUGCCCGCGAAAAGCAAAAAAAGUCUGUUUGUGGUCUUCCUUUAGUGCCUCAUGACCUCUCAUGGUGUUACACUGAUGUUGUGCUUUAUUUAGAGUUAGAUUAUCUCGCCAGUUUGUAAAACUAAAGAAACAAAGACUUUUUACUACAGAAAAACUACAAUUUACAAGGUUUGAUCCCUUUUUAAGAAACAGUACUCAUCCAUAUUACUAUUCUUCAAGUUUUCCUGGUUGUAUGUAUGUAGGUUGAUCUACUGAAAGGCAAAAAUCGCCUAUUCAUACCAUUUAGAAUGUGUUGCAUGUUGUAGUGUUGCGUAUGGCUUAUUUCAUCUGACGUUUUAUGCUCCCUUUUUAAGAAACACACAUGCUUUUAAAAUUAUACUGACUUCAUGAGAGUGUUCAUCAAUGUCAGGUCCAUCAACUGGCACAGGUUUUGUGCUUUAAAUUUUUGUCUGUUGCAGAAAAUAUGACUGGAGGUGUAAGGCCUGAUUAUCGGCUUAUAUAGUAAGAAACAGAACUGGGAUAGAAAGCUCCAGUCAUACUAUUAGAUCUUCAUCGUACUAUCAGUAUGCUGGAAGAAAUUUAUGAAGCUGAAGAAGGAAGAGUUGAUUGACUGUUUUGGGCUACAUAUUAAAAAACGAAAUGAAAGACUUUGUUACAUGCAAAAGACCUGUACAGUUGUAUAGCACCAGCUCUACCUCAUGCAGUAGCAGCAGUAGCAGUUCAUUAUGCAGCUUAUUAUGGCAGUUUAACUUUUUAACUUUAUAUGACUUGUGAAAUGUUGAUAAUUUAUUAAAAUUUGGUAUUGAUAAAAUGUCGUACAGAACAUGUUACAGAGAAUAUUGAUAAUGGCUACAGUACUAUCAGUCUAUCUAUGUUAUCUAGUUCUUGUGCAUACAAGCCCAGAGCUUGUAUCAAAUGUGAGAAUGGACAUGAACACAAGCAGUAUUGUCUAAGUAUUAAAGUGUUGUUUCUGAGCUUCUCUCUUUCUUGUUGACUUUGAGAAUCCCUCUCAGUAUUUAACAUGAGGCAGAUUCUUGGGAUGUCAACUUGCAUCUGUCAUCAAUGACUUCUUUCAGAGUUAAUAAUGACUUGUUCUCUCUGUUAUUUUUAUUGCCAUAGUUUGGAGGCAACAAAAGUAGAGGCAAAGUGAUGCAUUCCA